GACUGCUUCUAAUUUUGUAUUCUUAGGGUUCAGGCACCAUAGAAGAAGUCUGAUUAUCCUGAGACUACCAGACUUUUAAGAAAGCCCAAGGGAGCCACUUGAAGAUGACGUAUGAAGGAAGAUCAAAGUGCUCUGAUUGACAGCCCCACAAGAAAUCCCAGCCUUUAGGCAGCUCCAACUGCCACCAUCUGGGACAUUCCAAAUCAGUUGAGCCUUCAGUGAGCCCUCUUGGACAUUCCAGACCAGUUGAGCCUCCAGAUGACUGCAGCCACAGCUCAUACCACAUAAGGAAGGAACUACCCAGGAUUAGGAAGUUCCCUACAUUUCUCAUCAAGAACAGUGAUGCCAGAGUAGUCCAUCUGGUGUGUCCGGCUGCAGGCUGGUACCUAGAACCUGAAGCAAGCUGGGGAGAUCCCUAAGGACAGAAUUUAAAGCCACACUCUGAAAAUACCAGAGCAGGUGGAAACAGCAUGUUCUUCACUGAGUCCUUAGUUCUGCUUAACUGUGACCUCUUUGGUCCUCAACCCCAGACUCAACCGGAAGAAGGAAAUGACUAUUUCUAUUGGCAGAAAUAAUAAUAUGGAUAAUUUCGAGUAUUAUUUUAACUGUGUUCUGGUAUUUCCAUGGUUUUCUUCACUGAAGUGCAAGGAAGAUCUAAACGCUUCAGCAUGGUUUGGGAGACCUUCUGGCUUCCAUCCUGUUAAUCAUGCAGCUUUCAGUCUGCAAGCUUGAGAUGAGGGAUCCCACCACUGGAACUUUAGCUGUUCUGAUACAGGCUUGCUGGUGGUAUCUUCUCCUGUGCUGCCUUCUGGGGAGAGACUGGUACCUCCUGCCGACAUGCUGAAUUGCCCUCUGAGGACAAGGAGGUGCUCACAGGCCUUGCUACCUCAUAGGUGGGUACAUGUUGGAAGCACUUGCCCUGGCCAUGCUGGUUCUGCUUCCUCCUGGAUUCAUGAAGGCUGCUCCUGCCAGUGCUGGGCUGAUCUGCCCCGAGUGUGAAGACUUGGUGGAUGCCACGUCAUAGCACCUGCCACGGCUGCUGUCACUGCUGCCUUCCCUGCCCCUGCUGCCAUCCUUCUGCCAAGUAUUGCAGGUUGUGUGAUGGCAAGAGUAUGUGCUCCUGUAAGACUGCUAGGAGGACUCUUGGGUUCCUCGCUCCGCAUUAGGCAUAACCAGAAGAGAUGACUUUAAAUAGCUCAGAGAUGAUGUGAAGUCAACCUGAUGCUGACCUGAUCUUGAUGUUCUUCUCCGUAGAUAUUCAUGACCUGUGCUGAGGGGGAAGAAACAAAUAGAGAAGAAAAUGAGUGA